rnacentral:rRNA from 1 species
AGUCGACGCGAAGUGGAGCAAUCCAUGAGUAGAGUGGCGAACGGGUGAGUAACACGUGGGUGACCUGCCUUCGAGUGGGGGAUAACGUCCCGAAAGGGACGCUAAUACCGCAUGACAUCCUGCCUUUGAAGAGGUGGUGAUUAAAGCUGGGGAUCGCAAGACCUGGCGCUUGAAGAGGGGCCCGCGUCCGAUUAGCUAGUUGGUGGGGUAAUGGCCUACCAAGGCAACGAUCGGUAGCCGGCCUGAGAGGGCGGACGGCCACACUGGGACUGAGACACGGCCCAGACUCCUACGGGAGGCAGCAGUGGGGAAUUGUUCGCAAUGGGCGCAAGCCUGACGACGCAACGCCGCGUGGAGGAUGAAGAAUUUCGGUUCGUAAACUCCUUUCGAUCGGGACGAAUCGGUCACGGCCUAAUACGCUGUGGCACUGACGGUACCGAGAGAAGAAGCCCCGGCUAACUCCGUGCCAGCAGCCGCGGUAAUACGGGGGGGGCAAGCAUUGUUCGGAAUUACUGGGCGUAAAGGGCGCGUAGGCGGCCUGCUAAGUCGGACGUGAAAUCYCUCGGCUCAACCGAGGAACUGCGUCCGAUACUGGUGGGCUUGAAUCCGGGAGAGGGAUGUGGAAUUCCAGGUGUAGCGGUGAAAUGCGUAGAUAUCUGGAGGAACACCGGUGGCGAAGGCGGCAUCCUGGACCGGUAUUGACGCUGAGGCGCGAAAGCUA